UUCUGUGUGAGAACAGGCUACAGUGAAAAUGAACAAGCAACAUAGUUUCUGAUCAUUGACCGUCCAGUAUUUAAUCGUUAGGCUCACGUACAUUCACCAUAUGAUGUAUAACAUCCGUGUACUAAAAAACUCAACGCACACAUUAUGACAGACAGGUAUUGGUGUGUUAUUAGCAGAACACAUAAUGACAGACAGGUAUUGGUGUGUUAUUAGCAGAACACAUUAUGACAGACAGGUAUUGGUGUGUUAUUAGCAGAACACAUUAUGAUAGACAGGUAUUGGUGUGUUAUUAGCAGAACACAUUAUGAUAGACAGGUAUUGGUGUGUUAUUAGCAGAACACAUUAUGAUAGACAGGUAUUGGUGUGUUAUUAGCAGAACACAUAAUGACAGACAUAUUGGUGUGUUAUUAGCAGAACACAUUAUGAUAGACAGGUAUUGGUGUGUUAUUAGCAGAACACAUAAUGACAGACAUAUAUUGGUGUGUUAUUAGCAGAACACAUUAUGACAGACAUGUAUUGGUGUGUUAUUAGCAGCAGGUGGCUGUUGUUUAUCGCUCAUUCAGCGAUAAUGCGCUGUCUGCUGGCUGAUAUCGGUAAGCUGUCAGAGCUAAUGGAAAUAUAUUCACUUCCUUUGACAACAUGGAGUGAGAGGUUCCCUGUCUCUAUCCCAACCUCUCUGUAUCAGCAGUGCGCACAGUUCUGUUCUGGAAGAUUCCACUAUAGAAAGGGGAGAUGGGGGGGAACGGAGCAUUUUGAUUGGCCCGUCAAGCACAGCACUGUAGCAGGCUAUAGUGUUUUUUCCCCCUGCUUCGGUCAGUAUGUCUUUUACCUUUUUUUCAUUACUGUUCUCUCUCUCUUUCCCUCUCUUUUCUCUCCCCCUCUCUUUCCCUCUCUUUUCUCUCCCCCUCUCUUACCCUCUUUUCUCUCCCGCUCUCUUUUCCUCUCCCCCCUCUCUCU